rnacentral:rRNA from 1 species
GUCCUCAGCUCGUGUCGUGAGAUGUUGGGUUAAGUCCCGCAACGAGCGCAACCCUUAAUGUUAGUUGCCAGCAUUCAGUUGGGCACUCUAGCAAGACUGCCGGUGACAAACCGGAGGAAGGUGGGGAUGACGUCAAAUCAUCAUGCCCCUUAUGACCUGGGCUACACACGUGCUACAAUGGACAGAACAAAGGGCAGCGAAACCGCGAGGUUAAGCCAAUCCCACAAAUCUGUUCUCAGUUCGGAUCGCAGUCUGCAACUCGACUGCGUGAAGCUGGAAUCGCUAGUAAUCGCGGAUCAGCAUGCCGCGAU